rnacentral:lncRNA from 10 species
GUCCUGUCAGCCUCCUGUUGGCCCUCCAAACCUCUCUGGGACCUGUAUAUCUACAUUCCACCCUUCUCCUUCCCAUUCCAUAUCUUGGGAAGCUGAUGUCUAUAGACUGCAUUAAUGAACUUCCAUACCAUCUGACUUCCAGUUAAGUUUGGCCAAAAGGAGUCAUUGGAAUGAGAUCAGAGGGUAGGAAGAAAGAGAAGUUGGAUAAUUUUUCCUCUCACUCAUCCUUGUCAGGUCUAAAGGGGUUCUUGUUCUCUCUCUCCCAUUGCACUAAAGGUAGUAGCAG